AUGGAGACACUACCCAGAUCUUUUUCAGCAUCAGGACAAGCAAGCAGCUUAGAGCUCCUGCAAGACUCCUGGAGACAUCAGAACUCUCCAUCCUGUGGCCCAGCAGAGGUCUGUGGUUUUUACUGCUAAUGGAAAUUGAACUGACAGAUCAAAGGCAAUGUCUCCUACAGCCCAGAUUGCCAGCAGCCAGCACUAUCAGAAUAUCGGUUGAAUUGGUAAUUCAAAAUUAAGUGGAUUAAUGAUUGACGUCAAUUUGUAAAACCUGGCCUACCAACUCACCUCCUGCAAACAGGGCCUUUCUUAUUCUGGGUCAGCUGGGAGCAUGGAGCUUCCCAGAUGGGAGUUGGUUGAGCUCUAGCCAUACGCUGCCCGCCCCAUCCCAACCCUGAUUUUAAAGGGCCCCUGUUCUUAAAACUACACCAUUCCUGUUAGAUGUCUUAGAAAAGUCUUAGCACCUGAGAUCACUUUUAAAGAAAUAAACUCACGAAUUUAAGCCAAAAGGGAAAAGCCUGGUACAAUUUUGCACCUGUAACACAUGAGUCACUUGAUUAAAGAAAUACUCAAAUAUCAAGUUUGUGAUUCUCUCUGUGUGGGCAGGAAAGUGGGGGGCAUGUGGAGGGUGAAAAAUGCCUCAGCUGCACUAACUUACAAAUCCUAAUCAAUGUCUAAAUAUUCUGGGGCUGUCCACGUUUUGGAAAACGACUUUUCCCCUGUGAGUACUUUAUUUGAUGGUCAGAGGGAGACUGAAGAAGGGAACAGCUGCCGGAGGAUUUCAAAGCCUUCUCCAGGCAACACAAGAUUACUCACCUCCCACCUCGACACCACCGCUACCCAGUACAAAUCUCUGAAAGCAUCUGCAGGUUCUGCAGCACUUGAAAUUGGGACAUAGCUCAUGAGUUCUUCAGCACUUGGUGGGGUCUUCAGGGGACAUUGCUGUGAGCAUCUCAUCUGCUACCUGCCCCUCCCUGCUCACAGGCACAGCCAGCCUGAAGCAGAGAUGCCCUUCUACAAAAUCACAGAAGGGGACAAAAGCAGGAGCCCAAGGAUCUCCAGAGAGAGUGAGCUGCCAGCUGGUGACCAGUAACUGGAAGGCAUCAUGAGCAGGAACCCAGGUUCCUCAGGAGGCCAUGGGCUACCAGCUGGUAGUCAUGACUCCCAGAGUAGAGAGACAGGAGCUUGUGGUUCCCGCUUCCUCCCAGUGAUUGCCUGGAUAUGAUGGACCAUGGUGGGAUCACAACGCAAACUUGAGACUAUGAUGUUAACCCGGUGGUGCCAGCCAGGAUGGGAGUUCUCCAGGCUUGAACAGAGCUGGUGAGGGCCUUAAAAUCAAUUGAGUGUCUUGUUUUCUACUGGAUCCACAAGCCAGUAAGAACUGUGUACAUAUUUACUGUUUUUAUUGCUAGCGGUCAAUGAU
rnacentral:lncRNA from 1 species